rnacentral:rRNA from 1 species
UACGGAGGGGACUAGCGUUGUUCGGAAUUACUGGGCGUAAAGCGCACGUAGGCGGAUUUGUAAGUCAGGGGUGAAAUCCCGGGGCUCAACCUCGGAACUGCCUUUGAUACUGCAAAUCUCGAGUCCGGAAGAGGUGAGUGGAAUUCCUAGUGUAGAGGUGAAAAUUCGUAGAUAUUAGGAAGAACACCAGUGGCGAAAGGCGGCUCACUGGUCCGGUACUGACGCUGAGGUGCGAAAGCGUGGGGAGCAAACAGGGAUUAAGAAACCCUGGUAACGUCCGAGGAACCA